rnacentral:tRNA from 1 species
GCCCAGAUGGCGAAAUGGCAGACGUAGUAGACUCAAAAUCUACCGAGAAAUCAUGCGGGUUCGAGUCCCGCUCUGGGCACCA